UGUAGACGUCUGUUACGAGGGUACCCGACAUCUAGGCUACUAUAGACGUCAGUCCCUCCCGUAACAGACGUCUAUAUGUCUGACAGGCAGGUGAAAAGUCAUUUUUUUCUGCCAUAUAGACAUCGGAUCCCGCCACCCCGACAUCUAUAUAUGACUAUAGACGUUACCCCCCUGUAACGGACGUCUAUAUGGCUGAUAGGGUAGGUGAAAGGUUAGCCUAGACGUCGGGCACCCUCCUAACAGACGUCUAUAUGCACCGUGAAUAUUAAUUUUUAAAUCCGAAAGGCGUCAUAUUAGUGAGGGCCCCGACGUCUAGGCUAUUAUAGACAUCGGUCCCUCCCAACGCCCGACGUCUAUAGCCUUAUAUACAGGAAAACGCGAACCUGCGGGGAGUUACGUUCAUUGUUCAUUGUUUUCCUCUCGUGUUUUCUCUCUGGCAUUGCAUUUCCAGUUUCUGGUGUGUUCUUGGGCGACAUUUUUUAUCCUUUUUGGCCUACGUUUUUGGGCGUGCACUCCUUCAUUUUCCUCCAUUGAGUUUUUAAUCUGCUAAGAAGUAUGGAUCGAAGCUGGAUGAAGGAAUGUCGCAUCAGUGAAGAAUAUGAGAAGGAUGUUUCAGUGUUCUUGCAAUAUUUUCAACAAAAUGUAAAGUCUGUGAAUGGGACAUAUUUUUGUCCUUGUGUUCGUUGUCUUAAUCAAAUACGAAAAGACUUAGGCAAUGUGCGUG